UGAAAUUUUAUACUUCACAUAAAAUUUUUUUAAAAAAUAGAAAAAAAAACCCUUAUGUCAAAAAAAACAAAAACAAAACAAAACAAACUCAUCCCAGAUGAAUCACAAAGUUAUUUGUAAAAUGUAAAACAACAAAACCUUUACAGGAAACCAUAAGGUAAAUUUUUUUUAAACUGCCAUUAGGUACAAGUUCUCUUUGUUGUUGUUAUAGUAGUUUAAAGCAACAUACAUUACUUAUCUUACAUUUCUUGAGGUCAAAAGUAAGUGGGUUUCACUAGGCUAACAUCAGCCCUCCAGGACAGAGCCUUUCCCAUUCCUUUUCCAGCUUCUAUAGGAAGUCUGUGUUCCCUGACUCGUGGCCCCUUUCUCCACCAGCAAACGUCUUCCAAUUUCUCUUUGUCUUGGACUCAGACUAUGUAGUCAGUGUUUUUAAACAUGACAUCAAAAGCAUGAUUCAUUUUUUUAUAUUGAUAAAUUGGAUUUCAGCAAAAUUAAAAACUCCUGCUUUGUGAAGGACACUAUUAAGGUGUUGAAAUGACAAGCUACAGAUUUGUUGAUGAAAGUAUUUGUGAAUUGUAUUUCUGAUAAAGGACUUAUAUUUUAGAUAUAGAAAGAAUUCUUAUAACAACAAUAAGAACACAAGCAACAGAAGUUUCUUAAAUGGGCAAAAAUGCUUGAACAGAUGACUGAAGAAGUAUAUAUGACAAAUAAGCUCAUGAAGGGAUGCUUAAAAUCUCUUUAAGAAACACACAGAUAAAUUUAAGAGUGAAAAUGAGGAUUAUACUACCAGGAAACACUAUUACAUAUCUAUUAGGAUGGCUAAAAUUAAAGAAACAACAACUGACAAUAUCAAAUGUUGACAAGGAUUCAACUAGAACCUUAACACAUUGCCAAUGAGAAGGCAAAAUGAUACAAUCAUUCUGAAAUCACUGUUUCUUACCAGGUUAAAUAAACACUUACAAUGUGACCCAAAAACCCUACUCCUAGGUAUUUGUCCUAACGAGAUGAAAACUUAUAUUUAUGCAAAAACCUGAACAUGAGACUAUCCAUAGCAUUUACAGUCAUCCCAAACUGAAAAUUGCCCAAAUUUCUUUCCAAAAGGUGAAUGGAUAAACAAAUGUGACACAUUCACAAAAUGGAAAACCACUCAACAAUGAAAAGGACCACACUAGAAUUACAUGCAACAGCAUGGAUGAAGCUCAGAGGCAAAAUACUGAGUGAAAGAAGACAAUUUGUAAAGGUUGUAUACCACUGAAUUCCAUUUAGAUCACAUUCUGAAAAAGAUAAAACUACAGUGACAGAGACCAGAUCAGAAACGGCCAGGGGCUGUUGUGGAAGAGGGGUAUGACUACAUAGGGGUAACAUGAGGGAGCUUUUAGGGUGAUGGGACUGUUUUGUAUACAAAUUAUGGUGAUGGUUAUAGGCAUCUAUACAUGUAUCAAAAUUCUAAGAGCUAUACAUCAAAAAGGGACAAUUUUGUUGUAUGUAAAUUUUUAAAAAUAAAAUGCAAAUAAAAAGAACUUAAUUGCAAGACCUCAAAUCCAGAUUCUAUUACUUUCUAUCUCUGCUAUAUUGGGCCAGAUAUUAUAUUCUUUAAGCCUCGGCUUUCUCAUUACCUAAGGUGUGUAUAAUGAGAGUAUUCACAUAUCAUAGAGAUAGUUGUUGAAUUAAAUAAAGCGAUGCAUAUAGAGUUGUAUGUGCAGUGGUCUUUAGUGAGUCCAGAGUAUAUAUUAGCUAUUAAUAUGUGGUCAUUCUUUUCAGAAGAAAGCUCAUUAGGAGAGGUUUCAUAGUGCUGUAAAGGAACAUGAACUCCAUAGACAGCCAUCCUUAGCUUCGGGUUGCUUACUUAUUGUCUUGGACAAGUUUUUCACCCUCUCUGAAAACAGACACAAUAAUAUUCACUUUAUAUCACUGUGGCAAGCAUAAAAGCAUAACUUUUUAUUUGUAUAAUACCUGGUACUUAGUGGGUGCUCAAUAAGUGAUAGUUGUAGUUAUGAUGCACAGUGCUUCAGAAGGUAAAAUAUGAUUUCUUCUGACACUGAAAAAUUAUGUUUACAAAUGUGUAAUCCCAAAUGAUUAAUUAUGCAACCAAAGAAAGAGCUGAUGUUAUGCAAAUGUUUUCGUUUGUACUGAACUGGCCAUUCACACAUAUUUUCCUAUUCAUAGCCAAAAUAGUAAUUGGUUGAAAUGAGCACUGUUGCAUUUUAAUGAGCUCUUAAGAGGGUGAAAGAAUUCCUCUAGUACAAUGCAGAAUAGAUUUUCUAAGAUAAUGUGUACUUUUCCAUUUUGUUGUUUUGUUUUGCAAAUGGGGUUCACAGAUCUAUAAGGCGACUUCCUUCAUUUCAUAAUGCUUUCCAUCUCUCAUCUCAAGAGUGCAUUUCAAGGUAAAUUAAAGUUGGAUCUAAAGGAAACCGAGGACAGCAAGAAUCCUAGUGACCUCUGCAUGCAAGGUGUGUCCAGGUAAGCUCAGUUUUUCCUGGAUGCAUGUUUUUCUAGUUUAUUGUCAUCACCAUCAUCAUCAUCACCAUCAUCAUUAUCAUCCAGACUCUGGUUAGCCAUGAAAGGUUCUUUGGUUCUACAGCACCUCUAUUCUUCCUGAAUAACACACCAUUUGUUAAACUUUCUGUCGUUACUCAUUGAUCUACAAAGAGAGAAAGCAUUGCUUUAAGAUGAAAAAGGCUGCACAUUUGAAAAAAGGACAUCACUCUGUUAGUCAGGUGUGUGAAAACACACCUUCAGCAAAAGACAUUUCUUAGAAGUUAGAUUGUUUUUCAAAGCAAAUAAAAUUGUUCUGAAAUGGCUGAUAUGGUUUUAUUGCUGCUUAUGACAUUACAGAGGUUAUUGACAGGAGAGGAAGAACAGAAUAUUUGAUGCACCAAGCUGGAAAAAAAUCUUAGAAAUUUUAGCCUCAUUUUGUUAUCAUACCAAAGAGAAAAAUGGAAAUCUAGGGGAAAAACUACCUGGUAUGUGUUCCUCAAUAAGCAAAAGGCAGAGUCACCAUGGCAACUCAGAACUUCUCUUGCAGGACAGGAUAAUUUUUUCUAUAUUUCAUCAUUUCCCAUCAGAAGUCCUGUUAUUUGGUCUAUUUUUUAAGCCUAGUCCCAUGAAGUUUAUUUAAUUACAUUUAUUGAUUCAUAGAAUACAAUCAUCAUUAGUACUCUCAUUUGUUUUAUUAUGUGCUUUUUCUCUGUUGACAACAUUCUUAGCUCCUUCUCUCCUUCAGAGCCUCACUCCACUGUAGUUGAUAUGUCCUUCACUAGGCAAAUGCUGGUUUAUGUGUUUUAAAUGAUUUAAAGGUAUUUGCUAGAAAUUUUCAUUCUGCACUGUGCACUGUUUAUCAAUGUGGCUUUAGUUAAUAACUGUGACCACAGUCCAUUAUUUCAGUGUAUCAUCAUACCACCUUGUUCUCAUUAUUCUCCUCCGGUGGAUACUUGUAGCUUUUAUGAGUAUAGUACCAAAUAGUCACAGGAUAAUGGAAUUAAAAAAUGUUUAUUUUGGUACAAAAUUUUUUUAAUUCCAUGUACCAAGGGGUCUUUCAAAAAGUUCAUGAAAUAUGCAUAUUAUGAAAAAAAGCUAUUCAUGCACCUUCAUAUUUUUGAAACAACAAAUAAUGUCACAAUUAACACCCUUGUCUAUGUCUCUUAGUGAACUCAAGGGAGAAAUUAUCUAGGUAUUCCCCUUCAGAUUAUUGGACCAUGCACUAGACCUGUCCUUACAGUCACAAAGCAUCGCCAGAUUGCAUCACACAAAGGCUGCAAGUUUUAUACACAGAACCAGCAGUGCCAAAUUGUUUCUGUCUCCACAUACUAUCGCCAAUAUUGGUAUUAUUUUCUUUUCUUAGUUUGCCAUUUCAGUGAGUGUAAAGGGGUAUCAUGUUGGUACAAUUUGCAUUUUUAUUAGUCUCUUUUCAUAAACUGUUCUCCUAAGUUUCCUACUUAAGAUUUUUCUUUCUACAAAUUACUUAUUCAUAUUCUUGAAAUACUUUUCUGCUUUGUUUCCUCUAUCUUUUCUGUUGAGUUGUGGAAGUUCUUUACAUAUUCUAGAUAUUCAUGCAUUGACUGCUGUAGAUGUUGUAAAUGUGUUCUUCCAGUUUGUCCUAUGUUGACUGUCAGUGUGUCUUUCGCUGAGCAGAAGUCCUUGGUAUGUAUGCAGUCACAUCCGCCAGCUUUUAAACUUGAUUGUGCUCUAGAAUGCUUCUUCAGAAGGCUUGUCCUAUCUUUCACAGGGAUGGCCUUCAUAUUCUUUCGACAGUUUCCUGGUUUUAUCUUAGCAUUUAGGUUCUUAGUCCACUUGAGUCCGUGCUUGAAUGUGUGGACUAAAGCAGCACUACAGCUUUCUAGUUCUUUGUAUAAUAUCAAUAUUACAGUUUUCUCAAAGCCAUCUCACCAGGCAACCCACUCUUGCAUGUCUAUUCUAUUCCAGUUCCAUUUGAAGUGUGUGAGAAUCCAAACAUUUGCAACUGACUCCAGAAGGAUAUCCUGAGCUACAGAAACCUGUUCUACAUCCUGGGCAGAAUCCUGCUUAUUCUGUUUAGAUAUUUUAUUGGCAAUGGGGGCCAAGAACCAGGAGUCAAAUUUCCAGAGUUUAAAGGCAACAGGUUCUAUUCACAGCAUCAUAAAAAAGCCUAUUGAAAACACUCAGAUGCCUGGCUACAAAUAAGGUUUUCUUCUUCAAGAAAAUACCCUGAGAUCAUUAAUCCUCAUUAAAGUCUUCAUGACACUUUCAGCCAACAGGGUGGGUCAGUAGAAGAGUCCAGUUCUGCUCUGAGAGAUGGAUGGAGAGAACCCACCAAAGGCAGGAAAAGCAACUCAGUCCUGAAGAAGCAAGGAAGAGCUGUGCCUGAAGAGCUCCCUUGAGAGUCUUCCACAGGCCCGAUUGUUGGGCCAACAUGAGCACAUCCAGCCACUGAGGAUUGCUUCCCUUGUGAGAGUUUUGACAGGUGUUCGGGGUCCCAGUGACCAUAGCAGGGGCAGUUCAGGGAAGCUGAAUGAUGUCAGAAGGGAACGUAUGGCCAAGGGACUAAGAGUCAGCUGUGAAAGCUACCUGUAGGGGAACCACUGUGGGGAAAGGCAUCUUCUUCUCAUCCUUUCCAGGUUCCUGGAUUACUGCCUGGCUCAAGAUGGUGAAGGAAGCAAACUCUAAAACACACAUAUCCUUUAAUGCUGGGCAUAAAAAGCAUCAAAAUGAGACCCAAGAUGAAUUCUGGAGUAACUUUUGGGUUUUCUUUGUGAGUUUCCCUCUUCGUCAAUCAGAAAUAGGUGAAUUCUAGAGUGAACCCCUGGGGUCAGGUGUUGGUACAGUGGUUAAGACAUUGCUUAGGACACCCACAUCCUGUAUCAGAGAUCGUGGGUUCAAGUCCCAGUUCCGCUUCUGAUUCCAGCUUCCUGUUCAUGUACACCCUGAGGGGCAGCAAAUGCUGGCUCAAGUGCUGGGGUUCCUGCCACCCACGUGGGAGACUCAGGUUGAAUUCCAAGGCCCUGGCUUCAGUCUGGCGCAGCUCUAGCUGUUGUAGGCAGGUGUGGAGUUAAGCUAGAUGGAAGACUUCUGUCUGUGUCUGUAUGUCUCUGUAUGUGUGUUUCUCCAACUUUCAAAUAAAAUGAAAAUAAAUAAUUUUUUUAAAAAAGAAAAGGAACUUUCUCAACUACCUACUCAGGUCUGAUUAUAAGAGUUUUGGGUCCCAACUAGUACACAUCCUCCAUCCCUUGGCGAGAAGGCCAUCUGUUGAAUAAGAGGAAAGAGAAGGAGAAAGGGGAAAACUCAAGUGGGAAGAGAGUAAGAAAGAGAAAAAGUCUCAGUCUAAGCUCAAAAAUAAAUGGAAGAGGAAAGGAUAUCCUGAGAAAUGUCCCUGGUAAUGUCACAAUAAAUCACGACUUCUUCCAAGGCUAACAGGAUUUUAUCUCCGUGGAGAGUCAGUAGGGUUUUGAGGGACAUAUCAAUCUUCAGUAACUUCGUCCUUUUGAGCUCAAAUGAGUGGGCAUCAUUACGUCUGAUUACCAGGCAGGGUGUAGCUGAGCAUGGCGGUGGCCCACAGUACUGAAGGCAUGUGAUUCGACAGUCUCCAUGCUCGGGUGUCAGUCAUGGCAGAACUGCUCCCAGGAGCACAGCACUUGACUUUGAUCUCCUUCAGAUACACUCGAAGAGCAUCCAAGAUUGCUGCAUUCACACAGAUCUCUAACUUUGUUUCUAAUAGGCCUGCUAUCCUAGCAUGGUCUUGCACCAUCUGUUGUCACAGAUUUUUCGUGGUUAUUUAUAGUUUUUUAGUGAUUUCUGUCAAAAUGACAGGACCUCAGCAUAUCUCAGUAUCCCAAAGAGAUCGAAAGUUUAUUUUUAAAACUUUCUUAUUGCAUUUAGUAACAAAGGACAUUUUUAAACUAUUAUUUUUAACCUAAAUAUAUUAAUAUACUUUAUUUAUUUUCAUUUCAAAACAUUUCUUACAGGUUUUUAGUGUCAGAAUCUUUAUUUAGAACAGUUGAGAUCACAACAUCAGUUUACAAACAACUUUAUUAAAAUGAUAUGGCUCUUUUUGUUGUUAUGUCUUUUAAAAAUCAAUGAUCAAUUAGGGACUUUUAAAAGGUAGUUGGGAUUUUAGAGUGAGGGCCUAAAUAGUUUCUCUUUUAAAUUGAGAUGAAAUUAACAAAAGAUUAACUAUCUUAAUGUGAAUGAAACAAUAACACUUAAUACCUUCUGUUGUUAUGCAACCACCACUCAAACACUUUCAUCACCCCAAAAUCAAAGCCUAUACCAAUUAAAGAGUUCCUCCCCAUUCUCCCAUCCACUCACCAAUCUGUUUUCUGUCUCUGUGGAUUUACCUAUUUCAUACAAUCAUACAUAAUAGAUAAUCUUUUGUGUCUUUCUUCUUUCACUUAGCAUGUCGAGGUUCCUUUGGGCUAUAGAAUGUAUCAAUGAGUUCCACUUUUUUUUAAGAUUUAUUUACUUAUUUUUCUUUUUUUCCAAAGAUUUAUUUAUUUAUUUGAAAGUUAGAGUUACACAGAAAGAGCAGAAGCAGAGAAAGAGAGAGAGAGAGAGAGAGAGAGAGGGAGAGAGAGAGGUCUUGCAUCCGAUGGUUCACACCUCAAUUGGCCCCAACGGCCGGAGCUGCACUAACCAUAAACCAGGAACCAGGAACUUCUUUUGGGUCUCCCAUGUGGGUGUAAGGGUCCAAGGACUUGGGCCCUCUUCUACUGCUUUCCCAGGCCAUAGCAGAGAGCUGGACCGGAAGUGGAUCUUAAACCAAUGCCCAUAUGGGUUGCUGGUGCUUCAGGCCAGGGCGUUAACCUGCUGCACCACAGUGCC